rnacentral:rRNA from 1 species
AUUGAACGCUGGCGGCAGGCUUAACACAUGCAAGUCGAGCGGGGGAAGGUAGCUUGCUACCGGACCUAGCGGCGGACGGGUGAGUAAUGCUUAGGAAUCUGCCUAUUAGUGGGGGACAACAUCUCGAAAGGGAUGCUAAUACCGCAUACGUCCUACGGGAGAAAGCAGGGGGUCUUCGGACCUUGCGCUAAUAGAUGAGCCUAAGUCGGAUUAGCUAGUUGGGGGGGUAAAGGCCUACCAAGGCGACGAUCUGUAGCGGGUCUGAGAGGAUGAUCCGCAACACUGGGAGUGGGACACGGACCGGACUCCUACGGGAGGCAGCAGUGGGGAAUAUUGGACAAUGGGGGGAACCCUGAUCCAGCCAUGCCGCGUGUGUGAAGAAGGCCUUAUGGUUGUAAAGCACUUUAAGCGAGGAGGAGGCUACUCUAGUUAAUACCUAGGGAUAGUGGACGUUACUCGCAGAACAAGCACCGGCUAACUCUGUGCCAGCCGCCGCCGUAA